UGAUAACGGUUUCAGUGACUUCUCCCA
rnacentral:piRNA from 1 species